AAAGAGCGAGAGAAAGAAAGAGAGAAAGAAACACAAUUAAAAAAGAAGACUGUAACUCUCUCUGUUCCUCCUCCUUCUUCUUCUGU
rnacentral:ribozyme from 1 species